rnacentral:rRNA from 1 species
CGAAAUGCGAUACGUAAUGUGAAUUGCAGAAUUCGGUGAAUCAUCGAAUCUUUGAACGCAUAUUGCG